rnacentral:pre_miRNA from 15 species
GCUUCCCUCCCACUCAGGCCCUGCUGGGGCUAAAGUGCUGACAGUGCAGAUAGUGGUCCUCUCCGUGCUACCGCACUGUGGGUACUUGCUGCUCCGGCAGGGCACGCACAGCGUCCAUGGAG